rnacentral:rRNA from 1 species
GGAGCAUGUGGUUUAAUUCGAAGCAACGCGCAGAACCUUACCUACCCUUGACAUGCCCGGCUAUAUCCAGAGAUGGAUAGUUCCUUCGGGACCGGUGCACAGGUGCUGCAUGGCUGUCGUCAGCUCGUGUCGUGAGAUGUUGGGUUAAGUCCCGCAACGAGCGCAACCCUUAUCCUUAGUUGCCAUCACGUUUGGGUGGGCACUCUAGGGAAACUGCCGGUGCUAAGCCGGAGGAAGGCGGGGAUGACGUCAAGUCCUCAUGGCCCUUACGGGUAGGGCUACACACGUGCUACAAUGGCAGUGACAAUGGGAUAAUCCCCAAAAGCUGUCUCAGUUCGGAUUGUCGGCUGCAACUCGCCGGCAUGAAGUUGGAAUCGCUAGUAAUCGUGGAACAGCAUGCCACGGUGAAUACGUUCCCGGGCCUUGUACACACCGCCCGUCACAUCAUGGGAGUUGGUUCUACCCGAAGACUGUGUGCUAACUUCGGAGGCAGCAGGCCACGGUAGGAUCAGCGACUGGGAUGAAGUCGUAACAAGGUAACC